rnacentral:lncRNA from 1 species
UGCCUCCGCCUCGCCCCCUCCCCCGGCGCGCUCCCUCGCUCGCAGGCUCCCCGCCCGCGCGCGGAGCUGGAGGGAAGGCGCGGACCGGCGCGGACCGGCGCGCGAGCGGGGGCGCGGGGCCGAAGCCCGGGAGCGCCUGGGAGCCUGCUUUUGUCUGCCCCGGGCCGCCGGCGCUCGGAGGGGGCGUGGGCGCAGGAGAGGGGCAGGUUGUCCCGGCCGCGGGGCCGAUCGCGGUGUGGCCCGCGGGGAGGAAGCAGCUGGAGCUCCCGUCGCUCGGCCCGUCCGGAAGCGGGCGGCGGGUCCCCGGGGCGGGGGCCUCGUGCUCGGGCGGGGGGCGGACUCGACCCCGCGGGGCUGCGGCCGCCUCCGGGCCGGGCCGCGCGGCGAGGGCAGCAGUUGUCCCAAGUGCCAGAGAUUUGCCACUGGUGUCACCGAUGAUGUUCUAUGGCUGCUGACCAUGACGUCAAGAGCCCCUACUCUACCACAGAGAUGUGGCUCUGGCCAACCCCGCUGUGGACCUCUGCCAGUUAGCCCAGUUCUUGAUGAUUCCAAGGACUACAAAGAAGAAAGGCAAUUCAAAAGCGUUCUGAUGUUGUAGUGUCAUUAUUAAGCUCCCUAAACGAAAG